rnacentral:rRNA from 1 species
UGCGGAGGGAUCAUUACACAAAUUAAAAUAUGAAGGCUUCGGCUGGAUUAUUUUUAUCACCCUUGUCUUUUGCGCACUUGUUGUUUCCUGGGCGGGUUCGCCCGCCACCAGGACCACACCAUAAACCUUUUUUAUGCAGUUGCAAUCAGCGUCAGUAUAACAAAUGUAAAUCAUUUACAACUUUCAACAACGGAUCUCUUGGUUCUGGCAUCGAUGAAGAACGCAGCGAAAUGCGAUACGUAGUGUGAAUUGCAGAAUUCAGUGAAUCAUCGAAUCUUUGAACGCACAUUGCGCCCUUUGGUAUUCCAAAGGGCAUGCCUGUUCGAGCGUCAUUUGUACCUUCAAGCUUUGCUUGGUGUUGGGCGUCUUUUGUCUUUGGCCUCGCCCAAAGACUCGCCUUAAAACGAUUGGCAGCCGGCCUACUGGUUUCGCAGCGCAGCACAUUUUUGCGCUUGCAAUCAGCAAAAAGGACGGCAAUCCAUCAAGACUACAUUUUUACGUUUGACCUCGGAUCAGGUAGGGAUACCCGCUGAACUUAAGCAUAU